GUAGUGCCUGCUUCUGCACAACCUAUACUAAAAUUGGAACUAUAUAGAGAAUAUUAGCAUGGCACCUGCAAGGAUGACACAUAAAUUCAUGAAGCAUUCACUAUUUUU
rnacentral:snRNA from 1 species